rnacentral:rRNA from 1 species
CGCUGGCGGCAUGCCUUACACAUGCAAGUCGAACGGCAGCACGGGGGCAACCCUGGUGGCGAGUGGCGAACGGGUGAGUAAUACAUCGGAACGUGUCCUGUAGUGGGGGAUAGCCCGGCGAAAGCCGGAUUAAUACCGCAUACGAUCUGCGGAUGAAAGCGGGGGAUCCUUCGGGACCUCGCGCUGCAGGGGCGGCCGAUGGCAGAUUAGCUAGUUGGUGGGGUAAAGGCCUACCAAGGCGACGAUCUGUAGCUGGUCUGAGAGGACGACCAGCCACACUGGGACUGAGACACGGCCCAGACUCCUACGGGAGGCAGCAGUGGGGAAUUUUGGACAAUGGGCGCAAGCCUGAUCCAGCAAUGCCGCGUGUGUGAAGAAGGCCUUCGGGUUGUAAAGCACUUUUGUCCGGAAAGAAAACCUCUGCCCUAAUACGGCGGGGGGAUGACGGUACCGGAAGAAUAAGCACCGGCUAACUACGUGCCAGCAGCCGCGGUAAUACGUAGGGUGCAAGCGUUAAUCGGAAUUACUGGGCGUAAAGCGUGCGCAGGCGGUUCGCUAAGACAGAUGUGAAAUCCCCGGGCUUAACCUGGGAACUGCAUUUUGUGACUGGCGGGCUAGAGUAUGGCAGAAGGGGGUAGAA